rnacentral:rRNA from 1 species
AACCUUAGCAAUGUGCGAAAGCACGACUAGGUUAAUCCGAGUGAUUUCUGCUGAAGAAAUCUUUUGUCAGUUUUAAAAAUACAGAUGAAUAAGGGGUGGGCAAGUCUGGUGUCAGCCGCCGCGGUAAUACCAGCACCUCGAGUGGUCAGGAGGUUUAUUGGGCCUAAAGCAUCCGUAGCCGGCUAUGCAAGUCUCCGGUUAAAUCCAGCUGCUCAACAGAUGGGCUGCCGGAGAUACUACACAGCUAGGGAGCGGGAGAGGUAGACGGUAUUCGGUGGGUAGGGGUAAAAUCCUCUGAUCCAUUGAGGACCACCAGUGGCGAAGGCGGUCUACCAGAACGCGUUCGACGGUGAGGGAUGAAAGCUGGGGGAGCAAACCGGA